rnacentral:misc_RNA from 1 species
CUGAAAUCUAGUAGCGUUACCAUAUC